rnacentral:lncRNA from 1 species
CCAAUUCCACUUCAUUUUAUUUUCUUUUUUAAUUCAUUUUAUUUUUUCUGUUUUGUUUUUUAAUUCUUAAAAAUAUUUUAUUUAUUCAUAAAAAUAUCAAAAAAUACUUUUCACAUUUUUUAAUGUUUUAUUUAAUUUAUUUAAUUUUUAUUUUCAUAUUUUAUUAAUGUUAAUAUUUUAUUUCAAUUAUUUAUUUCAAAUGGUUCAU